rnacentral:rRNA from 1 species
UCUGUGAACUCCUACGGGAGGCAGCAGUGGGGAAUAUUGCACUAUGGGCGAAAGCCUGAUGCAGCGACGCCGCGUGGGGGAUGACGGCCUUCGGGUUGUAAACCUCUUUCAGCAAGGAAGAAGCGAAAGUGACGGUACUUGCAGAAGAAGCGCCGGCUAACUACGUGCCAGCAGCCGCGGUAAUACGUAGGGCGCAAGCGUUGUCCGGAAUUAUUGGGCGUAAAGGGCUUGUAGGUGGCUUGUCGCGUCUGCCGUGAAAACUCGAGGCUUAACCUUGGGCGUGCGGUGGGUACGGGCAGGCUAGAGUGCGGUAGGGGAGACUGGAAUUCCUGGUGUAGCGGUGAAAUGCGCAGAUAUCAGGAGGAACACCGAUGGCGAAGGCAGGUCUCUGGGCCGUUACUGACACUGAGAAGCGAAAGCAUGGGGAGCGAACAGGAUUAGAAACCCGAGUAGUCCAUCAGCG